rnacentral:rRNA from 1 species
UACGUAGGGCGCAAGCGUUAUCCGGAAUUAUUGGGCGUAAAGAGCUCGUAGGCGGUUUGUCGCGUCUGCCGUGAAAGUCCGGGGCUCAACUCUGGAUCUGCGGUGGGUACGGGCAGACUAGAGUGAUGUAGGGGAGACUGGGAAUUCCUGGUGUAGCGGUGAAAUGCGCAGAUAUCAGGAGGAACACCGGUGGCGAAGGCGGGUCUCUGGGCCGUAACUGGACGCUGAGGAGCGAAAGCGUGGGGAGCGAACAGG